CAGCAGCCGCGGUAAUACGUAGGUGGCAAGCGUUGUCCGGAAUUAUUGGGCGUAAAGGGCUCGCAGGCGGUUUCUUAAGUCUGAUGUGAAAGCCCCCGGCUCAACCGGGGAGGGUCAUUGGAAACUGGGAAACUUGAGUGCAGAAGAGGAGAGUGGAAUUCCACGUGUAGCGGUGAAAUGCGUAGAGAUGUGGAGGAACACCAGUGGCGAAGGCGACUCUCUGGUCUGUAACUGACGCUGAGGAGCGAAAGCGUGGGGAGCGAACAGGAUUAGAUACCCCCGUAGUCCUGUCUCUUAUACC
rnacentral:rRNA from 1 species